ensembl:lncRNA
GUGUAUUUGCGACCACAUACAUAACAUCUGGAUAUAUUAGAACCAUUUUGUUGUUGUUGUUGUGAUGAAAGUGAUUAAAAACCCCAUUCAAAGCUAACUAAGAAAAGAAAAGAAAAGACUUCCUCGUGGUCCCGUGAUUAAGGCUUUGUGCUCCCAAUGCAGGGAGUCCAUGUUCGAUCACUACUCAGAAAACUCAAUCCCACGUGCCACAAUUAAGAACCCACAUGAUGCAGUGCAGCCAAAUAAAUUAAAAAAGCAAAAGAAAAGCUCUGUUUUAUUCUAAGAAUUUUUUCACAUGGAGCAAAGGAGUCCUAUAUAUAGACACAGGAGCCAGAAGAAUUCCAGUUUCCCACGUUUCACAGCACCUGUGAUCCUAAGAGGCCUGGUUUCUGCCAGCACCUGUGUCAAUUCCUGAAAAAGGACUCUGUGUGUCUCAUCCCCAAACCAGUCAUUCCGGCCACGGAGAUGCAGUAUUGUUACUGACCAGGCUGGGGACACCGUGGCUGCCCAACCCCAAGAGCCAAGGUGAGGCGAGCUUUCAGUUUCCAGAGCCACAGAGACUGAGAAGGAGCAAGGAGUCAUUUCCCAAACAGAUGGCAGGCAGACAAAAAUAACAGAGCAUAUCCAGCUACUUCCUCUCCAUAAGAUCCUCAUGGACUGAUUUUGAUCAUGGAAAGAGUCUCUGAAAUCAGCCCCCUCUGAUCUCUGCCUCCUGGUAUUACAUUGUUCUAUGAUCCCCUCCCUUCCACGUGGGCUGGAUUGAGUGACUCACUUCUAGAGAAGACAAUCUGGUGGAGGCGAUGGUGUCAGUUCUGAGACUGGGUGAUGAAGGACUGCAGAUUCCAUCUUGGUGGCCCCAACUUUUGCUGCCUAUCUCUUGCCUGGUUCCCUUGGGGAAGCUGGCGACCAUGUUGUCAGUCAGCCCCUAUGCAGAGGCUCAGGUUACCUAAGAACCUCUCCCUGAUGAAAAGCCUAAAUAAUCUCCAAGGAAAAAAGAAAGAGGAGAGUCCAAUAUCAAAAGAAUGUUUUGUCGAAGCCAAUUUUCUUUAGCAACAGUUUUACAA